rnacentral:rRNA from 1 species
GUGUCAGCAGCCGCGGUAAUACGGAGGGGGCUAGCGUUGUUCGGAAUUACUGGGCGUAAAGCGCACGUAGGCGGACCAGAAAGUUGGGGGUGAAAUCCCGGGGCUCAACCUCGGAACUGCCCUCAAAACUAUUGGUCUGGAGUUCGAGAGAGGUGAGUGGAAUUCCGAGUGUAGGGGUGAAAUUCGUAGAUAUUCGGAGGAACACCAGUGGCGAAGGCGGCUCACUGGCUCGAUACUGACGCUGAGGUGCGAAAGCGUGGGGAGCAAACAGG